CAGCCGCCGCGGUAAUACGAAGGGGGCUAGCGUUGCUCGGAAUGACUGGGCGUAAAGGGCGCGUAGGCGGCGAUCAAAGUCAGGCGUGAAAUUCCUGGGCUCAACCUGGGGGCUGCGCUUGAUACUUGGUUGCUUGAGUGGGGAAGAGGGUCGUGGAAUUCCCAGUGUAGAGGUGAAAUUCGUAGAUAUUGGGAAGAACACCGGUGGCGAAGGCGGCGACCUGGUCCUUGACUGACGCUGAGGCGCGAAAGCGUGGGGAGCAAACGGGAUUAGAUACCCCCGUAGUCCCUGUCUCUUAUAC
rnacentral:rRNA from 1 species